UGACGUACCGGUCGAUUUGCUAAACGUC
rnacentral:sRNA from 1 species